GUGGGGAAUAUUGGACAAUGGGCGCAAGCCUGAUCCAGCAAUGUCGCGUGGGUGAAGAAGGUCUUCGGAUCGUAAAGCCCUUUCGACAGGGACGAUGAUGACGGUACCUGUAGAAGAAGCCCCGGCUAACUUCGUGCCAGCAGCCGCGGUAAUACGAAGGGGGCUAGCGUUACUCGGAAUUACUGGGCGUAAAGGGCGCGUAGGCGGCUCUGUUAGUCAGGCGUGAAAUUCCUGGGCUUAACCUGGGGACUGCGCUUGAUACUGCAGGGCUUGAGGCCGAGAGAGGGUGGUGGAAUUCCCAGUGUAGAGGUGAAAUUCGUAGAUAUUGGGAAGAACACCGGUGGCGAAGGCGACCACCUGGCUCGGUUCUGACGCUGAGGCGCGACAGCGUGGGGAGCAAACAGGAUUAGAUACCCGGGUAGUCC
rnacentral:rRNA from 1 species